rnacentral:sRNA from 1 species
AGCAGCUGGCGCAAGUAGCCUAGCUGGAGAGGCUCACCCCAGGAAGGAGGGAGGCCACCGACCUACUGGGCCGACGGACUCCCACACAGUUCCUGAGCUGGUGCCAGGCAGGUGACACCUCCUGCAGCCCCCAGCAUGCGGGCAGGCCCAGGCCCCACUGUUACACUGGCCCUGGUGCUGGCGGUGGCAUGGGCCAUGGAGCUCAAGCCCACAGCACCACCCAUCUUCACUGGCCGGCCCUUUGUGGUAGCGUGGGACGUGCCCACACAGGACUGUGGCCCACGCCUCAAGGUGCCACUGGACCUGAAUGCCUUUGAUGUGCAGGCCUCACCUAAUGAGGGUUUUGUGAACCAGAAUAUUACCAUCUUCUACCGCGACCGUCUAGGCCUGUAUCCACGCUUCGAUUCUGCCGGAAGGUCUGUGCAUGGUGGUGUGCCACAGAAUGUCAGCCUUUGGGCACACCGGAAGAUGCUGCAGAAACGUGUGGAGCACUACAUUCGGACACAGGAGUCUGCGGGGCUGGCGGUCAUCGACUGGGAGGACUGGCGACCUGUGUGGGUGCGCAACUGGCAGGACAAAGAUGUGUAUCGCCGGUUAUCACGCCAGCUAGUGGCCAGUCGUCACCCUGACUGGCCUCCAGACCGCAUAGUCAAACAGGCACAAUAUGAGUUUGAGUUCGCAGCACAGCAGUUCAUGCUGGAGACACUGCGUUAUGUCAAGGCAGUGCGGCCCCGGCACCUCUGGGGCUUCUACCUCUUUCCUGACUGCUACAAUCAUGAUUAUGUGCAGAACUGGGAGAGCUACACAGGCCGCUGCCCUGAUGUUGAGGUGGCCCGCAAUGACCAGCUGGCCUGGCUAUGGGCUGAGAGCACGGCCCUCUUCCCGUCUGUCUACCUGGACGAGACACUCGCUUCCUCCCGCCAUGGCCGCAACUUUGUGAGCUUCCGUGUUCAGGAGGCCCUUCGUGUGGCUCGCACCCACCAUGCCAACCAUGCACUCCCAGUCUACGUCUUCACACGGCCCACCUAUAGCCGCAGGCUCACGGGGCUUAGUGAGAUGGACCUCAUCUCUACCAUUGGCGAGAGUGCGGCCCUGGGCGCAGCUGGUGUCAUCCUCUGGGGCGACGCGGGGUACACCACAAGCACGGUAAGCGAGACCCAGCCUGCCAGAGCUCAGUCUAUGGGACAGACAGAGAGUUAGGGCCUUUGGCUACCAACCUCAGGUGGGCAAUCCUAGUCUGGUCCCCUUGUCUGUCUCCCACCCGAGGCAUCCCUGGUGGCAACAGGAGGAGGUCACCCCCGCCCUGCUCUCAGGAAAGAGGAAAUGCUGUCCUGAACAGCUGUUGAGUUCCGCCCUUCCCCAUCUGCCCAACUGGGUUCCGUUCUGUACCCCCACCCACUUCUCAGCAGGAGCAGGGACUGUGUGGCUCAGGUGCAGAUUGAAUGUAUAAAUGUGUGCAGUUAAAAUAAGGUAUAGUCAUCACAGUGUGGACACAGUUUCCAUCUGGGCCUGU